UACGGAGGAUGCGAGCGUUAUCCGGAUUUAUUGGGUUUAAAGGGUGCGUAGGCGGCGAGUUAAGUCAGCGGUAAAAGCCCGGGGCUCAACCCCGGCCCGCCGUUGAAACUGGCUGGCUUGAGUUGGGGAAAGGCAGGCGGAAUGCGCGGUGUAGCGGUGAAAUGCAUAGAUAUCGCGCAGAACUCCGAUUGCGAAGGCAGCAUGCCGGCUCCACACUGACGCUGAGGCACGAAAGCGUGGGGAUCGAACAGG
rnacentral:rRNA from 1 species